GAUGAACGCUGGCGGCGUGCCUAAUACAUGCAAGUCGAGCGAACAGAUGAGAAGCUUGCUUCUCUGAUGUUAGCGGCGGACGGGUGAGUAACACGUGGGUAACCUACCUAUAAGACUGGGAUAACUCCGGGAAACCGGGGCUAAUACCGGAUAAUAUUUUGAACCGCAUGGUUCAAUAGCGAAAGACGGUUUCGGCUGUCACUUAUAGAUGGACCCGCGCCGUAUUAGCUAGUUGGUAAGGUAACGGCUUACCAAGGCGACGAUACGUAGCCGGCCUGAGAGGGUGAUCGGCCACGCUGGAACUGAGACACGGUCCAGACUCCUACGGGAGGCAGCAGUAGGGAAUCUUCCGCAAUGGGCGAAAGCCUGACGGAGCAACGCCGCGUGAGUGAUGAAGGUCUUCGGAUCGUAAAACUCUGUUGUUAGGGAAGAACAAAUUUGUUAGUAACUGAACAAGUCUUGACGGUACCUAACCAGAAAGCCACGGCUAACUACGUGCCAGCAGCCGCUGUAA
rnacentral:rRNA from 1 species